AGAGUUUGAUCCUGGCUCAGGAUGAACGCUGGCGGCGUGCCUAAUACAUGCAAGUCGAACGGGGGUAGCAAUACCCUAGUGGCGAACGGGUGAGUAACACGUAGGUAACCUGCCUUUUAGAUUGGGAUACCCGAAGGAAACUUUGGCUAAUACUGGAUAAUAACAACCGAGGCAUCUCGGAUGUUUGAAAGGGGCCUUUAAAGCCCCACUAAAAGAUGGACCUGCGGCGCAUUAGCUAGUUGGUGAGAUAACAGCCCACCAAGGCGAGGAUGCGUAGCCGAACUGAGAGGUUGAUCGGCCACAUUGGAACUGAGACACGGUCCAAACUCCUACGGGAGGCAGCAGUAAGGAGUUUUCGGCAAUGGGGGAAACCCUGACCGAGCAACGCCGCGUGAGUGAUGACGGCCCUAUGGGUUGUAAAGCUCUGUUAUAAGGGACGAACAGCUUUGCGAGGAAAUGCGCAGAGUCUGACGGUACUUUAUCAGAAAGCCACGGCUAACUACGUGCCAGCAGCCGCGGUAAUACGUAGGUGGCAAGCGUUAUCCGGAAUUAUUGGGCGUAAAGAGUGAGCAGGCGGCAGGUUAAGUUUGAGGUUAAAGCGUGGGGCUCAACCCCAUAAAGCCUUGAAAACUGAUCAGCUAGAGUACGAGAGAUGUGAAGGGAACUCCAUGUGUAGCGGUAAAAUGCGUAGAUAUAUGGAAGAACACCAGUGGCGAAGGCGCUUCACAAGCUCGAAACUGACGCUCAGUCACGAAAGCGUGGGUAGCAAAUAGGAUUAGAUACCCUAGUAGUCCACGCUGUAAACGAUGAGAACUAAGUAUUGCCGUGAGGCAGUGCUGAAGCUAACGCAUUAAGUUCUCCGCCUGGGGAGUACGGUCGCAAGACUGAAACUUAAAGGAAUUGACGGGGGCCCGCACAAGCAGUGGAGCAUGUGGAUUAAUUCGACGCAACGCGAAGAACCUUACCAAGAUUUGACAUGGGAACUAAAGCCCUAGAAAUAGGGAAAUAUCAGGUCUACACAGGUGGUGCAUGGUUGUCGUCAGCUCGUGUCGUGAGAUGUUGGGUUAAGUCCCGCAACGAGCGCAACCCUUGUUACUAGUUACCAGCACGUAAUGGUGGGAACUCUAGCGAGACUGCCGGUGACAAACCGGAGGAAGGUGGGGAUGACGUCAAAUCAUCACGCCCCUUACGACCAGGGCCACACACGUACUACAAUGCCCGGUACAGCGAGCUGCGAAGCUGCGAAGCUGAGCUAAUCUCUUAAAACCGGGCCAAGUUCAGAUCGGAGGCUGCAAUUCGCCUCCGUGAAGCUGGAAUCGCUAGUAAACGCAAAUCAGCAUGUUGCGUUGAAUACGUUCUCGGGCCUUGUACACACCGCCCGUCACACCAUGGAAGCCAGUAACACCCGAAGCCGGUGAGCUAACGCAAGAGGCAGCUGUCGAAGGUGGGAUUGGUGACUGGGGUGAAGUCGUAACAAGGUAGCCGUAGGAGAACCUGCGGCUG
rnacentral:rRNA from 1 species